CCUACGGGUGGCAGCAGUGAGGAAUAUUGGUCAAUGGACGCAAGUCUGAACCAGCCAAGUAGCGUGCAGGAUGACGGCCCUCCGGGUUGUAAACUGCUUUUAGUUGGGAACAAAAGGGGGCUCGUGAGCCCCGUAUUGUAUGUACCAUCAGAAAGAGGACCGGCUAAUUCCGUGCCAGCAGCCGCGGUAAUACGGAAGGUCCGGGUGUUAUCCGGAUUUAAUGGGUUUAAAGGGAGCUUAGGGCAGCUUUUAAGGCAGCUGUGAAAGUCCGCGGCUCAACCGUGGAAUGGCAGUUGAAACUGGAGGCCUUGAGUGCACACAGGGAAGCCGGAAUGCAUGGUGUAGCGGUGAAAUGCUUAGAUAUCAUGAAGAACUCCGAUCGCGAAGGCAAGUGUCCGGGGUGCAACUGACGCUGAGGCUCGAAAGUGCGGGUAUCAAACAGGAUUAGAUACCCGAGUAGUC
rnacentral:rRNA from 1 species